UUUUAGAUUUUUUGUCAUCACUAAUUGUUUCAAUCCAGCGGAAGAAGGCAACAUCCCGCCUAAGAUAUUCCGCAGCAGUUUACAAGGGAAGGAGCUCAGGAUCGUCACCGGCCACUUUCCACCAGUGAUUUCCAUUUUACGGAAUUCCUCCGGCCACAUCAUUGGGUAUUCAGAUCAACUGUACCUUCAAUUUCUUUACUUGGCUAAGAAAUUAAAGUUCACUUAUAAAAUAUUCCCUGCCGCUGAGAAUACCAACGGAGUCAAAAUCAAUGGAUCCUGGAACGGAAUAAUCGGAGCUCUAACCAAAGGCGAAGCUGAUUUCGGUUUAGUCCCAGUAGCCGUUUCGCUGGAGCGGUACGAAGCUAUAGAGUUCUGCGGUAGAGUAGGAGGAGACUAUACGGGCAUUCUAAUUAAAUAUCCCGAGGGUAGAAUUUCAUUCACUAGCGCAUUCGACGUUUUCUCUACAGGAAUAUGGAUCGGAUGGAUUAUUUCCGGAGUUGUGGUCGUUGCAGUUUCCACUGUUCUGGCUUACUUUUCAAAAAGAUUGGGUAUUAGAGUUGGAGAAAAUAAGGCUACAAGUAUUGGGUGGUACUUGUAUGGUACCAUCCUUUCC